rnacentral:rRNA from 1 species
UACGGGAGGCAGCAGUGGGGGAUAUUGCACAAUGGGCGAAAGCCUGAUGCAGCGACGCCGCGUGAGGGAAGAAGGUCUUCGGAUUGUAAACCUUUGUCCUAUGGGAAGAUAAUGACGGUACCAUGGGAGGAAGCCACGGCUAACUACGUGCCAGCAGCCGCGGUAAU